rnacentral:rRNA from 1 species
UACGUAGGAGGCAAGCGUUGUCCGGAAUUACUGGGUGUAAAGCGCGUGUAGGCGGCAGGCCAAGUCUGUGGUGAAAUCGCUCGGCUCAACUGGGCGGGGUCCAUGGAAACUGGUCAGCUGGAGGACGGUAGAGGUGAGUGGAAUUCCGCGUGUAGUGGUGAAAUGCGUAGAGAUGCGGAGGAACACCAGUGGCGAAGGCGAGUCCCUGGACAACUCCUGACACUAAGGCACGAAAGCUAGGGGAGCAAACAGG